GACGAACGCUGGCGGCGUGCUUAACACAUGCAAGUCGAACGGAAAGGCCCUGCUUUUGUGGGGUGCUCGAGUGGCGAACGGGUGAGUAACACGUGAGUAACCUGCCCUUGACUUUGGGAUAACUUCAGGAAACUGGGGCUAAUACCGGAUAGGAGCUCCUGCUGCAUGGUGGGGGUUGGAAAGUUUCGGCGGUUGGGGAUGGACUCGCGGCUUAUCAGCUUGUUGGUGGGGUAGUGGCUUACCAAGGCUUUGACGGGUAGCCGGCCUGAGAGGGUGACCGGGCAACAUGGGGGUGCGGGAGGGCUGAGAGGGCUACGGUGGGCAGUAGGCGGGAAGCGGAAGCAGCGGGCGGACGACGGAUGCGGUGACGUUGCGUGCGGGAUUGCCGCGUUCCGGGGGUGAACCGAUUAAAGCUGAGACCAAGGCUGAGGGACGGUAACGGGUAGAGAAGGACCGGCUAACUAGGUG
rnacentral:rRNA from 1 species